AUGAACGCUGGCGGCGUGCCUAAUACAUGCAAGUCGAGCGAACGGACGAGAAGCUUGCUUCUCUGAUGUUAGCGGCGGACGGGCGAGUAACACGUGGAUAACCUACCUAUAAGACUGGGAUAACUUCGGGAAACCGUAGCUAAUACCGGAUAAUAUUUUGAACCGCAUGGUUCAAAAGUGAAAGACGGUCUUGCUGUCACUUAUAGAUGGAUCCGCGCUGCAUUAGCUAGUUGGUAAGGUAACGGCUUACCAAGGCAACGAUGCAUAGCCGACCUGAGAGGGUGAUCGGCCACACUGGAACUGAGACACGGUCCAGACUCCUACGGGAGGCAGCAGUAGGGAAUCUUCCGCAAUGGGCGAAAGCCUGACGGAGCAACGCCGCGUGAGUGAUGAAGGUCUUCGGAUCGUAAAACUCUGUUAUUAGGGAAGAACAUAUGUGUAAGUAACUGUGCACAUCUUGACGGUACCUAAUCAGAAAGCCACGGCUAACUACGUG
rnacentral:rRNA from 1 species